AUCCAGCUGACGAGUUCCAAAUAGGACGAAACAUGCACUUUGUCCUUGAU
rnacentral:hammerhead_ribozyme from 1 species